rnacentral:rRNA from 1 species
UACGAAGGGGCUAGCGUUGCUCGGAAUCACUGGGCGUAAAGGGUGCGUAGGCGGGUCUUUUAAGUCAGGGGUGAAUCCUGGAGCUCAACUCCAGAACUGGCCUUUGAUACUGAAGAUCUUGAGUUCGGGAGAGGUGGAGUGGAACUGCGAGUGUAGAGGUGAAAUUCGUAGAUAUUCGCAAGAACACCAGUGGCGAAGGCGGCUCACUGGCCCGAUACUGACGCUGAGGCACGAAAGC